rnacentral:tRNA from 1 species
GCCGACCUAGCUCAGUGGUAGAGCGCGUGGCUUUUAACCACGUGGUCGUGGGUUCCACCCCCACGGUCGGCG